CAUUGGUUAAUUAUAUUCUAUAAUAAAGGACCAAUAUGUUUGUUUGUGGAAAGGUUAUGUUAGUAAUUAUACAUAUUUUACUUUAACUGGGUUCUUUUUAGAAGCAUGCCACCUCAGCAGACCAAGAAUCUCAACAAAGAAACUGCCGGAGAAUGUUCCAUCAGAGUCUCUGUCAGCACUACAUCAUCAGUCAGAUACUAAGCAACUUCAGGGGUUGCAGACUUUGGACAAACUUGUUGGACAUCCACCACAAGAGAAGAGUGAUGUAGCCGGUGAGAGAACUUUUCCUGGCCUGUUCUUGUAGCCCUUUACAUACAGCAAGCAACUAAUUUUUUCUUUAAGAAUUGAAUCUCCUUUUUGACUAAUUUUUUUACUGGAAUAUUGUCAAAAUGCUGUGGCCGUUGUGUAACUCCAAAAUAAAUCAUACUUUAAGUUGA